GAUGAACGCUGGCGGCGUGCCUAAUACAUGCAAGUCGAGCGAACGGACGAGAAGCUUGCUUCUCUGAUGUUAGCGGCGGACGGGUGAGUAACACGUGGAUAACCUACCUAUAAGACUGGGAUAACUUCGGGAAACCGGAGCUAAUACCGGAUAAUAUUUUGAACCGCAUGGUUCAAAAGUGAAAGACGGUCUUGCUGUCACUUAUAGAUGGAUCCGCGCUGCAUUAGCUAGUUGGUAAGGUAACGGCUUACCAAGGCAACGAUGCAUAGCCGACCUGAGAGGGUGAUCGGCCACACUGGAACUGAGACACGGUCCAGACUCCGACGGGAGGCAGCAGUAGGGAAUCUUCCGCAAUGGGCGAAAGCCUGACGGAGCAAAGCCGCGUGAGUGAUGAAGGUCUUCGGAUCGUAAAACUCUGUUAUUUGGGAAGAACAUAUGUGUAAGUAACUGUGCACAUCUUGACGGUACCUAAUCAGAAAGCCACGGCUAACUACGUG
rnacentral:rRNA from 1 species